UAACCACAUUGUCAUUUUUAUAUUGCCUGAAAGAUUUUGCUGGGGUAUACAAGUUGUAAGGGAGAGAAUAAAGAUAUAGUUAAAAUGAGUUUGAAGGAACACAUCAAGAAUGAGAGCGUUAGAAGGAAAAUAAGGCAGACUUAAGACACAGGAG